UAUAAAGAGAGAAACAGGAAGUGGUCAGGCUCCCCUUUAACUGCCUCUGGCCGAAUCUCGAAAGACUCCCAGCAGAGCGCCCUACAUAGGUUUUGAAACUUCUACGCUCAGAUAUUGUGCGACACACCCAGUCGGGAGCCACGUGGGAGAGAAAAAUAGACGGAAAAGGAGCGGAAAGCUAAGAGGAAAAAGAGAGUAUUUGGUUCCAUCAGGAAAGGAGUACGUUCCCCUGCCGUGAUACAUGUUCUCUCUGAACUGGCCUUCGUACACCGCGCCUGAUGGGUCCACAAAUCAUGGACGUGUCUUUGCUCCCGCCCAGUGUUCACUAAAGGCACUACAAAUCAG